AAACCCCGGAGAGCGGAGCGUGCACGUUGAGAUUCCUCGGCGGGCUAGGCAGCGGUGCUGGGCAUGCUCAGUGGGCAGGACCCGUUAGAGUGGCGAGACCGCAGCUGAAUGCACAGCUAGAAGGUUGGCUUUCACAAGUACAGUCUACAAAAAGACCUGCUAGAGCCAUUAUUGCCCCCCAUGCAGGAUAUACGUACUGUGGGUCUUGUGCCGCCCAUGCUUAUAAACAAGUGGAUCCGUCUAUUACCCGGAGAAUUUUCAUCCUUGGGCCUUCUCAUCAUGUGCCCCUCUCUCGAUGUGCACUUUCCAGUGUGGAUAUAUAUAGGACACCUCUGUAUGACCUUCGUAUUGACCAAAAGAUUUACGGAGAACUAUGGAAGACAGGAAUGUUUGAACGCAUGUCUCUGCAGACAGAUGAAGAUGAACACAGUAUUGAAAUGCAUUUGCCUUAUACAGCUAAAGCCAUGGAAAGGGUAUGAGUAUUAUAGAACAAUUAGACCCUGUAUCUUUUAGCAAUUACUUGAAGAAAUACCAUAAUACUAUAUGUGGAAGACAUCCCAUUGGGGUGUUAUUAAAUGCUAUCACAGAGCUCCAGAAGAAUGGAAUGAAUAUGAGUUUUUCGUUUUUGAAUUAUGCCCAGUCAAGCCAGUGUAGAAACUGGCAAGACAGUUCAGUGAGUUAUGCAGCUGGAGCACUCACGGUCCACUGAAGCUCUGAAUCCUCAGGGAUGCCACCUGCACAUUCUCAUACUCUGUCCGGGGUCCCAGCCUAGCCUUUACCAAGAUACUGGUCCUGGUUUGGGGGGAUUCUGAAACCUCAAACUAAUAGAACUUUCUUCUCUUUUUUUUCUAGUAGGUGUAGUCCUUCCUUAAUUUCAACUCAUUAAAAAAUGCUUUAUAGUUUAGGGCAGUGGAAGGAAGGCUGGCAUCAAAAUAUUUUGAUCAAAAAAGAUGACAAUGUAAAGGCUCAGUUGUGGCAGACAGUUUUUUGAAAGUAACUUGUAAAGCAUUUACCAUAUCCUAAAUUUGCACUCUUUGCAGACUUGUGCACAUAUAUUCCGCUUUCAGAAUAGUUUUGCAAAUUGUACACAAACAAAAAGGUGGAAGCUUUUUAAUAAAGAAAUUGCAUUUAUAAAUGAUCUGUAUUAGAAUAUAAUAAAUCUCCAGUUAUAGUCAAUUACUACCCAUGUUGUACAACAGAUACCUUCUAUUUUAGUUGCUAAUAAAGGGCUACACAACUC
rnacentral:sRNA from 1 species